AAUCCCCGGGCUAUUUGUAACCUGCCCUGUGACACGGAUCCACCCGUGCCAGUUUUAACACUAGAGGUCAAGGAGCUGCCAGAGGAGCUCAUGGUAAUCCAAAUGAGGAGAAGAUGACAGAAUGCACUCAUUAUCCUGAGCAGUCGAGAGCUGUGGAGAACAACGAUGCAGCAGGCAGCUGAGGUGUUGCAGAGGUUCUGAUUUAAGUAGAGCAGCCCUUGGAAUUAAGCUAUAAGAGGACAAGAAUUAUGGACACCCUAAAAAGGCAGAGUCAAGUAGUUCGUGAAACUAUUUUGUGAUGUUUGGA